UAGGGAAUCUUCCGCAAUGGACGCAAGUCUGACGGAGCAACGCCGCGUGAGUGAAGAAGGAUUUCGGUUCGUAAAACUCUGUUGUUAGAGAAGAACAGCGCAUAGAGUAACUGUUAUGCGUGUGACGGUAUCUAACCAGAAAGCCACGGCUAACUACGUGCCAGCAGCCGCGGUAAUACGUAGGUGGCAAGCGUUGUCCGGAUUUAUUGGGCGUAAAGCGAGCGCAGGCGGUCAAUUAAGUCUGAUGUGAAAGCCCCCGGCUCAACCGGGGAGGGUCAGUGGAAACUGGUUGACUUGAGUGCAGAAGGGGAGAGUGGAAUUCCAUGUGUAGCGGUGAAAUGCGUAGAUAUAUGGAGGAACACCAGUGGCGAAGGCGACUCACUGGUCUGUAACUGACGCGGAGGCUCGAAAGCGUGGGUAGCAAACAGG
rnacentral:rRNA from 1 species